CUUACAUCCUAGAAAUAGUGACUCGAAGCUCAUGACGGACAUAUGUACCGGGCCAUACUUGAUGGAACACAUGCCAAAGCUUCAUAUUACAAUCUUGGCGCUGGGUAUAAUGGCAUAUGGACAUUGCUUUGGAGCAAGCGUAUUUGAUGUUCUAAUGAGGUGUCGUGGUCUAAAAAGGCUGGACCUUGAUUUUCUGCCAAGAAGUCAACUCGGGG